CCUACGGGAGGCAGCAGUGGGGAAUUUUGGACAAUGGGGGCAACCCUGAUCCAGCAAUGCCGCGUGAGUGAAGAAGGCCUUCGGGUUGUAAAGCUCUUUUGUCAGGGAAGAAACAGCAGCUCUAACACAGUCUGCGAAUGACGGUACCUGAAGAAUAAGCACCGGCUAACUACGUGCCAGCAGCCGCGGUAAUACGUAGGGUGCGAGCGUUAAUCGGAAUUACUGGGCGUAAAGCGUGCGCAGGCGGUUUUGUAAGACAGGCGUGAAAUCCCCGGGCUCAACCUGGGAACUGCGCUUGUGACUGCAUCACUUGAGUACGGCAGAGGGGGGUGGAAUUCCACGUGUAGCAGUGAAAUGCGUAGAGAUGUGGAGGAACACCGAUGGCGAAGGCAGCCCCCUGGGUCGAUACUGACGCUCAUGCACGAAAGCGUGGGUAGCAAACAGGAUUAGAUACCCUGGUAGUCCACGCCCUAAACGAUGUCAACUAGGUGUUGGGUGGGUAAAACCAUUUAGUACCGUAGCUAACGCGUGAAGUUGACCGCCUGGGGAGUACGGCCGCAAGGUUAAAACUCAAAGGAAUUGACGG
rnacentral:rRNA from 1 species